GAAGUAGUAGGAACGUAAUCCAUCAUUGAUGGCGACAUCAUCAUCAGUGGUUACGACAGAUCUCAGUGUUGCAGAAGCUCAUGCUUAGCAGAUGGGAUUCACUCACAUGCCCGGUCUCUUUCGACGCUCAUAACGAUCUUGUGAAGUGCAUCAUGAUCUCCAUUAAGAGGUGAGUGACUUGCUUACAGAUACAAAGCUCCGGAAGGCAGAGCAUAGCCUCAGUUGGAAUCCGCUGACCCUGGCUGGGUCCUUUGGAGUACGUCUCAGACACCUCAGCAUGCU
rnacentral:lncRNA from 13 species